rnacentral:rRNA from 1 species
GCCUUAGUAACGGCGAGUGAAGCGGCAAAAGCUCAGAUUUUAAAUCCACUGUCUUUUGGACAUUCGAGUUGUAAUCUGUAGAGAAGUGUUCGAGGAGUGUCUCGGCUUAAGUUCCUUGGAAUAGGAUAUCAUGGAGGGUGAGAAUCCCGUGAAUGGCCUUGAAUGUGACUUCUUAUUGUGAACCUUUUUCAGCGAGUCGAGUUGUUUGGGAAUGCAGCUCUAAAUGGGUGGUAAAUUUCAUCUAAAGCUAAAUACUGGCAGGAGACCGAUAGCGCACAAGUAGAGUGAUCGAAAGAUGAAAAGAACUUUGGAAAGAGAGUUAAAGAGUACGUGAAAUUGUUGAAAGGGAAGCACUUGCUCCCAGACUUGCCUGUAGCUAAUCAACCAUCAUUUGUUUUUGUUGGUGCACUUGGCUAUUUUGGGCAGGCCAGCAUCAGUUUAGACAGAGGGAAAAGGCCUAGGGGAAUGUGGCUCUCAUUUGAGGGAGUGUUAUAGCCUCUGGUGUGUAAUAUCUCUAGUCCUGGACUGAGGACCGCGCAUUUGUAAAAAGGUGAGGAUGCUGGCGUAAUGGUCGUAAGUGACCCGUCUUGAAACACGGACCAAGGAGUCUAACAGCUGUGCGAGUGUUUGGGUGAUUAAACCCUUGCGCGGAAUGAAAGUGAAUGGAGGUGGGAACCUGUAAA